CCCUCUCAACCAGAUUGUGUCCAAAGAUGAAGUUGAAGAGUCGGCUAGCCGAAGAGUCUGAACUUUUCCAGCUUGUAACCAGAAGGACAGUGAGUCGCAAGAAGAGUGGCUCAGACACAGCUUAAAUUAAAUGGAACUUCCAUUUAAGUCAGAUCCAGUUACCUUCAAGGAGGAGGAAAAUUGGGCAUCAAACAUCAGAUCAAUGACCAAAUCAAACACAGGCUACAACAGCUGGAUGAAUUAGAAGAGCAUGCAAGUGAACACAAGGGACUUAACAUGGAUGUCUCACGAGUUACACAAAUCAGUCAUGAAUUCCAACCGGUCUGGGAUUUAGAUCAAAGAGUUAAAGCCCUAAAAACUAAUUAAGUGCUCUAUACUUCUGCUUAAAACUCACCCAUUUGCCUUUUAUCCGAGCAAAUUUGUCCCAAUUACCCAUAUUCUUGAUAAUUUUGGUCAAAUGGUUGUUAAAAGGGAUUGAUGCUGACAAAGUUAUC